GGGGAAGUGAUGGAAUGGCAGACAUCGGAGACUUAAAAUCUCUUGCUCGUAGAGCGUGAGGGUUCGAAUCCCUUCUUCCCUA
rnacentral:tRNA from 1 species